ACUUCCGGUCUGCUCUCAAAUCAUGAUAAACGUGGAUUCCGCGGAAAAGGAUUACCGGUAUCAUCAGCAAAGCAACACACUUUAUACUCAUUCUCUCAAGAAAGAGAACAUUAGACAAUAAGGAACAGGCAAGUAGCACCGUCAGAAGGUGAUGGCAACAGUGGUAACAGCAAGCAAAACCAGGAGGUGAGAAAUGCCUGAAAUAAACACAAGUUUUUCUAAUUUUUCUAAUUUAUUCUAUCAUGUCAUCUUAAUUUUGGGAGAACAGAAUAUGAUAAUACAAGCUGCUGCUACAAACGAAACUCCUAAUAUGAUAGGCUUAUUAUGUGAUCCAAGUAAACGAAUUUAUACUUAUUUGAAAUUUUCCUUCUGCAAAUUCCAUAAUUUCAAAAACUCUGUUCUCAGUUCACAGAAUUUCUGUUACCCUUACUAUUCUUUUAUUAAAUUCAAUCUGCUUUCCCCAUAGCUGCAAUAUAAUUGUUAUGCUAAAUCAAAGCAGUGAGGCAUUUGGUUCAGAACUUAUUUUAGCAGUGGUCAGCCAGAAGGCAAAGAAAUGUCAUUAGCAAAAUUGUUCCCUUGAAUAUAUAGAUUCUUCUAUCUGUUGUGACUACAAGCUACCUAUAGCCUACAAUUUACUGUAGUAGAUAUUAUCAUGUAGCAUUAAAUUCCAUACAUUAAUCACAUCUAUUAUAUAAAAUACCAUUUCUGUUUUUAGACAGGGUACCAAUGAUGUUUUUUCUGGAGGAAGAGAAUCUAUUUCCCACUACUAUGAAAUUUAAUCCCAACUGACACUAGUAGUUUAAUAAUUAUACAAAUAUAUACCGGGGGGGGGGCAGGGAAGGACCUAAUGAUGUUUCUAUUAAUUUCUCAAUUCUAAAAGAAAGUCUCUUCCACAACCUCAAAAGAAGCUAGCCUGGGCAAAGUGACUAGGAAACCAAAGCCUGCUUCAGGUCUACUUGGUUUUACUCUUUCAGCAAAGAAAAUACCCUAUUGUUUAAUGACAGAUUAUUACUGAUUGCUCUUUCCUUGAGCCACCUGUUGCCCACUCAGCUUCAUGUGCAUUAAAAAAAAAAAAUACUUAGGCAUAUAGGUUACAGGUACUCACCCAUCUUUUCACAUACUUCUUUUAAAAAAUAUUCUGUAUCUCCUGACUAUUGAGAUGAGAUGUUGGGUAAAGUAAGCGUGAAUAAUUUCACAGAGACUGAUACCUGCUCUCGCUAAAUAAUGAUCUCACUAAAAAAAAUCACAGAUCUACUGCAAAGAUACUGGCAGUUUCUGAAGUUAUUUUAGCUUUUCCAAGGUGCAGACUAAAGCACUGAAUAUAUGAGAAACAAUAUUAAAGUAGAGCUUCCACAGAAGAUGUAAGCUGCCUAAUAAACCCUAUUCUCUUUCUACAGAACCUUGCAUACCAUCGGUUCUUACAGGUAGUCCUCAUUUAGUGACUACAACUGGGACCAGCAACUUGGUCGUUAAGCGAAGUGAAUGAUCAACUGCUUUGGGAUCCCAUGAGAACAAAUGAAGAGCCAGGAGCCAAAUGGACAAUCUUCAACAUCUUCCUUGAAAUGUUCCCUGUUGGAGGGAGCAUCCUGAAACAACGUAAAAAAAUGGCCAGAAGAUGACAAUCCAGAAAUCUAAGGAAGCAGAAAAAUAACAUGAAAUAAGUAGUCUAAGUAAGUGACCUCUCUGAAUGUGUCAUUUAAGAAAAAGGAAGGUUUUAUGUUUGUCCAUAACAAUAAGCCCAUACUUAGAAUCUCAUGUCUCAUAAAGGUAUAGAAUGCUCAGCUCUGCUUAGCACCAAAUACAGGUUAUGAUUUUGUCUGUACGUUGCCAAAUCCUCUUGUCAUUUAACUAUUCCAAAAUAAGGCCAUAUAGAAUAUAGUUAAAUAAAAUCCCAAUACCUGUUGUCCUAGGACUUCUUUACAAACAUUUUCCUGAAUACACUGAGCGUCAAACCAGUCAUUUGGGAGAUUAGACAAAAGAUCCAUUUUGGUCACCGGCUCCUGCCUUGCAAAACACAGCAGAUUAUUCACACUAAGCCAGGCAGCAAAUGCAUUAAACAGCUUUAGAGCCUACACCAGGAAUAAGCAAUCUGCAGUUGUCUGUCUUAACAGUCACUUUAGACCUCCAGCAAGAGCUGUCUAGGCCUUUCCUGACAGCUCAUUGAGAAUCCAGAGAGGAGCCACUUUGGACUGUGGCCCUGCCAACUGCCAUGUGAUCCUCCAAAAUAUUUUUAGGGAAUGCAGUCUUCAACCCACAAAAUGUUCCAUACUCCUAUCAUAGAAUGUAAUAAUAAAAACCAGUUUUCUCCCAUCCUAUUAUGUUCUGGUUGGAAAAAUGGAAUAGGAGUAGUUGAAAACUACAAUCUAAAUGCUUCCACCUUCUGCCACAGAAUGGUAGCCAAAAUAUAGGCAACCCAUUCAAAUUACUGGAAUGAAAAUAUAAAAUGGUGUUUUGCUCACUUCAAUGUACAGUAUGGCAUAUUUGCAUUUCUUCCUUCUUUCCACAUAUAUGUGACCCGUUUCAUUUUGCAUGUUAACAUAGUGCAAAAUACUCCCAGCCUCUGAUGGGCACCAGAACCAUUUGCUCUCACUGAAGAGCAUGACAGCUCUGUUGACAAUUAACUCUGUCUCCAUGGUGAUAAGGAAUACCAAGGAGAGUGCAUAUAGACUGGAGAC